UACGUAGGGUGCGAGCGUUGUCCGGAAUUAUUGGGCGUAAAGGGCUCGUAGGCGGUCUGUCACGUCGGGAGUGAAAACUCAGGGCUUAACCCUGAGCCUGCUUCCGAUACGGGCAGACUAGAGGUAUGCAGGGGAGAAUGGAAUUCCUGGUGUAGCGGUGAAAUGCGCAGAUAUCAGGAGGAACACCGGUGGCGAAGGCGGUUCUCUGGGCAUUACCUGACGCUGAGGAGCGAAAGUGUGGGGAGCGAACAGG
rnacentral:rRNA from 1 species